rnacentral:lncRNA from 10 species
GCAUGGUCACCCAAGGAGGCUGAGCCCUCUGUAACCUGGCCAGCUUCAGUUCCCGGAACGUUUGCUGAAACUGUCAGCAAGCACAUGGAUUUCAAUGCAAUUACAAAAGCUAUAAGAACAAGAAGUGCAUUCAUUCAUUAGCAAAUUACACUAAAUUAUCUUAGCAAAUAAGGCAAAAUGUCAGUCAGUGGCUGGCAGGCUCUGCAGACACAUCAGUCCCUCUUCCCCACCUCCAACAAUGGUGCCACACUCUGCAGGGACUUUUUAGGAGAGGAUAUUGCAACAUGAGGAGCAGGAAGGAAACAGAAUAGAGUGUAGACCAGCACCCAGGGAGCAUGCUGGCCUGUAAAUUAGGGUGGGUAGGUAGGUAGGCAGGUGGACUUCAGAUAGGUGAGUUUUGAGACUGAGGAAGAACUAGAGGCCAGAGAGCUGCAAGGAGGAGGGUGGG